rnacentral:rRNA from 1 species
CAGCCGCCGCGGUAAUACGUAGGUGGCAAGUGUUGUCCGGAAUUAUUGGGCGUAAAGCGCGCGCAGGUGGUUUAAUAAGUCUGAUGUGAAAGCCCACGGCUCAACCGUGGAGGGUCAUUGGAAACUGUUAAACUUGAGUGCAGGAGAGAAAAGUGGAAUUCCUAGUGUAGCGGUGAAAUGCGUAGAGAUUAGGAGGAACACCAGUGGCGAAGGCGGCUUUUUGGCCUGUAACUGACACUGAGGCGCGAAAGCGUGGGGAGUAAACAGGAUUAGAUACCCCAGUAGUCCCUGUCUCUUAUAC